rnacentral:rRNA from 1 species
AUUGAACGCUGGCGGCAGGCUUAACACAUGCAAGUCGAACGAGCGGCGGACGGGUGAGUAAUGUCUGGGAAACUGCCUGAUGGAGGGGGAUAACUACUGGAAACGGUAGCUAAUACCGCAUACCAUCAGAUGUGCCCAGAUGGGAUUAGCUGGUAGGUGGGGUAAUGGCUCACCAAGGCGACGAUCCCUAGCUGGUCUGAGAGGAUGACCAGCCACACUGGAACUGAGACACGGUCCAGACUCCUACGGGAGUCAGCAGUGGGGAAUAUUGCACAAUUGGCGCAAGCCUGAUGGAGCAAUGCCGCGUGAAUGAUGAAGGCCUUCGGGUUGUAAAAUACUUUCAGCGGGGAAGCGUUACCCACACAGAAAGCACCGGCUAACUCCGUGCCAGCAGCCGCGGUAAUAC